rnacentral:lncRNA from 1 species
CAAAGCCUGUUUGGUGGUCUCUUCACACGGACGCGCAUGAAAUUUGGUGCCAUGACUCGGAUCGGGGGACCUCCCUUGGGAGAUCAAUCCCCUGUCUUCCUGUUCUUUGCUCCGUGAGAAAGAUCCACCUACAACCUCAGGUCCUCAGACCGACCAGCCCAAGGAACAUCUCACCAAUUUUAAAUCAGGAGCUUACUACACGUGCCGGCAAUCUGGCCACUGGGCCAAGGAAUGCCCGCAGCCCGGGAUUCCUCCUAAGCCGCGUCCCAUCUGUGUGGGACCCCACUGGAAAUCGGACUGUUCAACUCACCUGGCAGCCACUCCCAGAGCCCCUGGAACUCUGGCCCAAGGCUCUCUGACUGACUCCUUCCCAGAUCUUCUUGGCUUAGCGGCUGAAGACUGACACUGCCCGAUUGCCUUGGAAGCCCCCUAAACCAUCACGGAUGCCGAGCUUCGGGUAACUCUCACAGUGGAAGGGACGUGCAUGAAAGUUAGGGGUAGAAGAAAAGAUGGAUUGAGGUUGUCCUCAGACUUUCCAUGGUAUCUGAGCUGUUUUCCUCUUCCGGAAUUGUGUCUCAUAUGAAGUUCCUCUUCAUUUGAG